GCUCAGAACGAACGCUGGCGGCAGGCUUAACACAUGCAAGUCGAGCGCCCCGCAAGGGGAGCGGCAGACGGGUGAGUAACGCGUGGGAAUCUACCCUUGACUACGGAAUAACGCAGGGAAACUUGUGCUAAUACCGUAUGUGUCCUUCGGGAGAAAGAUUUAUCGGUCAAGGAUGAGCCCGCGUUGGAUUAGCUAGUUGGUGGGGUAAAGGCCUACCAAGGCGACGAUCCAUAGCUGGUCUGAGAGGAUGAUCAGCCACAUUGGGACUGAGACACGGCCCAAACUCCUACGGGAGGCAGCAGUGGGGAAUAUUGGACAAUGGGCGCAAGCCUGAUCCAGCCAUGCCGCGUGAGUGAUGAAGGCCCUAGGGUUGUAAAGCUCUUUCACCGGAGAAGAUA
rnacentral:rRNA from 2 species